UGGGGUAUAGCUCAGUGGUAGAGUGCAUGCUUAGCAUGCACAAGAUCCUGGGUUCAAUCCCCAGUACCUCCA
rnacentral:tRNA from 1 species